UGCGAACUGCUACGGGAGGCAGCAGUAGGGAAUCUUCGGCAAUGGGGGCAACCCUGACCGAGCAACGCCGCGUGAGUGAAGAAGGUUUUCGGAUCGUAAAGCUCUGUUGUAAGUCAAGAACGAGUGUGAGAGUGGAAAGUUCACACUGUGACGGUAGCUUACCAGAAAGGGACGGCUAACUACGUGCCAGCAGCCGCGGUAAUACGUAGGUCCCGAGCGUUGUCCGGAUUUAUUGGGCGUAAAGCGAGCGCAGGCGGUUUGAUAAGUCUGAAGUUAAAGGCUGUGGCUCAACCAUAGUUCGCUGUGGAAACUGUCAAACUUGAGUGCAAGAGGGGAGAGUGGAAUUCCAUGUGUAGCGGUGAAAUGCGAAGAUAUAUGGAGGAACACCGGUGGCGAAAGCGGCUCUCUGGCUUGUAACUGACGCUGAGGCUCGAAAGCGUGGGGAGCAAACAGGAUUAGAAACCCCGGUAGUCCUGAGU
rnacentral:rRNA from 1 species